GACGAACGCUGGCGGCGUGCUUAACACAUGCAAGUCGAACGAUGAAACCGCUUCGGUGGUGGAUUAGUGGCGAACGGGUGAGUAACACGUGGGCAAUCUGCCCUUCACUCUGGGACAAGCCCUGGAAACGGGGUCUAAUACCGGAUAACACUCUGUCCCGCACGGGACGGGGCUGAAAGCUCCGGCGGUGAAGGAUGAGCCCGCGGCCUAGCAGCUUGUUGGUGGGGUAAUGGCCUACCAAGGCGACGACGGGUAGCCGGCCUGAGAGGGCGACCGGCCACACUGGGACUGAGACACGGCCCAGACUCCUACGGGAGGCAGCAGUGGGGAGUAUUGCACAAUGGGCGAAAGCCUGAUGCAGCGACGCCGCGUGAGGGAUGACGGCCUUCGGGUUGUAAACCUCUUUCAGCAGGGAAGAAGCGAAAGUGACGGUACCUGCAGAAGAAGCGCCGGCUAACUACGUGCCAGCAGCCGCCGUAA
rnacentral:rRNA from 1 species